AAAGAGGCAAACCCUGGGUUUCUGUGUCCAACUUUGACUGUCUGUCUUAUAUGAAAUUUUUUUAUAAUUCGUAUUUUCAUUGUUGUUAGAUGAUAAAACAUGAUUAAUAUUUUAUGCGUGCCUUGUCUCAUUUUUUUCAUAAUUUUUUCGAAUAAGACGAACGGUCAAACGUUGGACACCGAAACCAGGGUUUGUCUUUUU
rfam:Oryza glumipatula chromosome 5, whole genome shotgun sequence.